UCCACGUGCUCCCAGGAGGGGCUCUGACUUUAUUACUCAGAAAGAAAGAAGCUUCCAUGAUGCAGAUGGUCAUUUGUUCAUUCAGCUAAAACUCCUCAAGACCCUACUCUGUGUCAAGCCCUGUGCUGGGCAUUCGGGACGAAAUGGAGAUCAAGGCCCAUGUCCUGUCCUCAGGAGAUGACCAUUUGGUGGGAAAGUCAUGCCAGGAGACAGAUCUUGGAUACCUCCUUUGUGAACCGACAGCAAGCAUGCAUUCCAAGACUCAAGAGGACCUUUCUCAUCAGUGUUGUGGGGUUGAAAACAAUUGUGUUAUCAGCCCGCAUUCCGCUCCACCAGCCUCCAGCUCAGGCAGAGAUGCACUGUGACAAGGCUCACUGCCCCGUCAAUGUUUUUUAAGUGAGGAAAACAUUCAGUGAAUGAUUUGUAAUGCCGGAUAUCCAGUUUAAAA